rnacentral:piRNA from 1 species
UGAUACUAUAAAUUUCGGCCUGCUA